rnacentral:rRNA from 1 species
GACGAACCGUGCGAACGUUAUUCGGAAUCACUGGGCUUAAAGCGCGUGUAGGCGGGAGGGUACGUCGGCCGUUGAAAUCCCCCGGCUCAACCGGGGAAGUGGCGCCGAUACGGCCUUCCUGGAGGAACGUAGGGGGACCUGGAACUUCCGGUGGAGCGGUGAAAUGCGUUGAGAUCGGAAGGAACACCAACGGCGAAAGCACUCUGCUGGGCCGACACUGACACUGAGAGACGAAAGCUAGGGGAGCGAAUGGG